rnacentral:rRNA from 1 species
UUUCUGGUUGAUCCUGCCGGAGGUUACUGCUAUCGAGGUUCGACUAAGCCAUGCGAGUCGAAUGUAGCAAUACAUGGCGUACUGCUCAGUAACACGUGGACAACCUGCCCUUAGGACGGGUAUAAACCCGGGAAACUGGGUAUAAUUCCCGAUAGGUCUCGUCUGCUGGAAUGCAUCGAGAUCCAAAGCUCCGGCGCCUAAGGAUGGGUCUGCGGCCUAUCAGGUAGUAGUGGGUGUAGCGUACCUACUAGCCUACAACGGGUACGGGUUGUGAGAGCAAGAGCCCGGAGAUGGAUUCUGAGACACUAAUCCAGGCCCUACGGGGUGCAGCAGGCGCGAAAACUUUACAAUGCUGGGAACAGCGAUAAGGGAACCUCGAGUGCCAGGUUACAAAUCUGGCUGUCGUGAUGCCUAAAAAGCAUUAUAUAGCAAGGGCCGGGCAAGACCGGUGCCAGCCGCCGCGGUAACACCGGCGGCUCGAGUGGUAACCGUUAUUAUUGGGUCUAAAGGGUCUGUAGCCGGCCGGAUAAGUCUCUUGGGAAACCUGGCAGCUUAACUGUCAGGCUUUCAGGGGAUACUGUCUGGCUCGAGGCCGGGAGAGGUGAGAGGUACUUCAGGGGUAGGGGUGAAAUCUUGU